rnacentral:lncRNA from 1 species
AAAAUAUGUACACAUUCAUGGGUCGUACACAUGGAUAAUAAUGUGUAUGUACACUAUUAUAUUAUUUAUUUGUAAACACAUCUAAAAGUGUUUGCGUGUUUAAGAUAUACUUAUAAAAGAAAUUUACAAGUAUGUACACUAUUUUAUCAGAUACUGCAUUCAGCUGUGUUCUGAUAUUGGUAUGUUUGGACAUAGCAAAAUAGUGUACAUAUGCACAAAGCGAAACCUUUGUACAUUUGUACAUAGUGAGUAAUCUUUGUACAUGUGUACAUAGUUUGGACAUGGCCAGAUACUUGUGUUGUGUUUAAUGUGGACACGGUGAUGUGAACACAAUAUACAAUGUAAACUGUGAUGUGAACAUAGUAUAUUGAUAAAAGGAGUCCAUGUGGACAUCUUAAAUACCAAUGUACAUGUUGUGAUAUCUUAAAAGAUGUAAUGAAUAUUGAUUGACAUUCACCUUUGUUGUAGUAGUACUAGUAACAAUAUACAUGAUCAGGUAGUGUCCAUAUGGACAAGUUGGAAACUCUGUGUAGAUGUUGCUAUACGUUUAGAUGUUUUGUAAUGCUUGUAAAUCCGUACAUAUCCAUAAAACAUACAUAUGGGACAUAGUAUUGCAGAUGUUUUUAACGUGCAUAUGGUGGCUGAAUCCAAACAAAGCAUCGACGCUCGCAAAUCCAUCUACAAAGGAAGUACCAUUGUGUCCUAGAUUAUUUGGUUUGUCGCUUAGGGUCAAACUUAGAUACAUCAUUUGAGCAAUUUCCCCCUGACUUCUUAAUUUGUUUUCUUCAUUAUCUUUGUACAUAGAAAGAUAAGACUUGUGUAAGUAUUCUACGAGAACAACUGAAAAAUCAGAUUGGAUCAAGAUAUCUUAGAGACCAGAAAUAGAUGUUACAUUGUAACUUAACAAUA